rnacentral:rRNA from 1 species
UACAGAGGGGGCAAGCGUUGUUCGGAAUUACUGGGCGUAAAGGGCUCGUAGGCGGCCAACUAAGUCAGACGUGAAAUCCCUCGGCUUAACCGGGGAAUGGCGUCUGAUACUGGAUGGCUUGAAUCCGGGAGAGGGAUGCGGAAUUCCAGGUGUAGCGGUGAAAUGCGUAGAUAUCUGGAGGAACACCGGUGGCGAAGGCGGCAUCCUGGACCGGCAUUGACGCUGAGGAGCGAAAGCCAGGGGAGCAAACGGG